UCAUGAUGAUUCUCUGUGGGGGGAGGAGGGAUGUCAGGGUCUAAAGCAAACCUGGCUUUCAUCCACGUUUGGGGAAGACCAUCCAUUCCCUUGUUGUCAUGUUUUCUAGUGCAGGAACUUCUUGCCUCUAAUCCUGAUCCUUACUCUCUUCAUAGGAAUGGACCGAGUUACUGGAUCAAAAAGAGGCUGACAUACGCUGGUUCACAUUUGGAGGAAUGUGAACUCUCCUUCCCUCUACCUGGGACAGGUGCCAGGCUGCCAUCCUGGGUGCACACCAUGCCCUCCAGAAGAUCAGAGAGUGUCCUUGCCUACAGUGCUCUUGGAAAGGACCAACCAGAGCCAGCCAGAUACGACCCCUAACCGAUCACAUCGGAUGUCCUGCUUCUGGUUAGUUCACCUGCCGCCUCCCCACUCCCAGCAGCCUCCGGUCGGGCCACACCUGAAGCCUCGCCUUUCUCCACGGUAAAUCUUGCUCCCUGCCCUGCCUGCCUUCGAGUCUCUGCCCCGAUGCAAGUGACGGGGAUGGACUCCCGUUCUACAGCGGGUUCAGAAUAGAUUUUGCUUGUGUUAUUUGGAUUUGGUUUAUUUCUACGUAGUCGGUUCUCAAUAAUUGUUGCGUGGAGGAAGAAAAGGAUUAAAGAUGUUGAGGAAAUCUAUAUGGAAUACAAUUAUCCCCAGCUUUACUGAGCUACAACUGCCACCAUGUUGUGUAAGUUUAAGGUGAUUUGCGACACGCACAGCUACAUAAUUUUUAUUCGCCAAGCACAUGUAACGAAGCUGGGAAAAAUCCACAUUAAAAAAAAAAAGAGCAAAGGAAGGAAGUAGGGAAUCUGUUGUUUCUUUGUGCAGAGGGACUACUAGAUUUUUGCCGUUGGACAUAGUUUUCUCCGUUAAAACCAAUCAGGCUGAGAAAAGAAAAUUCAACAUCUCACGUGACUGAACCAUGAGGUUAAAAUGUGGGUUCUGAUCCAGUAGGUCUGGGGUGGGGCCUGAGGUCCUGCGUUGUGACAAGGUUCCGCAGGGAGCCGGUGCUGCUGGCUUAUCCCGCACCCAACGCAGCCAGAGCUUCGAGGUCUGGGAGGUAACUCCAGGCGGACCGCACCAUUUCCGUCCCCAGCAUCUCAAAACCAAGAUGGACAGCCUACGUCUCAGAUAGAGAAACUGCAUGUGACGGUCCCCGGUGGAAGUCAAUUCCUCUACAGGUUACCAAGAACACAGAAAACAAUGUAUAUUUUGAUUCCAAUUAAAAAAAGGGAAUGAUG